rnacentral:tRNA from 1 species
UAAGGGAUGGGCUAGCCUGGUAUGCUUUCAGCUUUGGGAGCUGAAGACCCGAGUUCAAAUCUCGGUCCCCCCA